CUGACAGCACGUGACCUGGUGCCUUUUCAGAGGACGCGGCCGGCUCACCCCUUGGGGCUCUCGGGGCUGCAGAUUCACUCCCGCGGCACCUGCCACCCUGCCUGCCUGACGAUGAGGGUUUUGUAACCCGAAUGGUAGCUACUGAGUAGGCCGCACACCCAGCACGGAGCCCAAGGUGGGGCCUGAACUCACGACCUGGGCCGAGAUCAAGAGUGGGAUGUUCACCCGACGGAGCCACCGUGGCGCCCCUAUUACACUGAGGCCCUUAAAGAUGGAGCCAAGAAGGAAUUCAGUAAAAGUCAUCUCUGCCCAGUACGGGCGCGCCCCAAUUAGGAACCUCGCUGUCGCCCCUCGUCUGAUAGGAAGGCGGUGUGCCCAGCCGAGCCACCAGGAGCCGCAUCCCCGUGGCUGGAGGCCAGAGCGCAGCUCAGCCCCCGGCGGCAGGAUCAGCACCUGAGGCCUGGUGACGGGACUUGCUGCGCAUGUGAUGCUCAGAUACGCCAACACCCACCUGGCGCUUCCACGGUGGGGUCGAAGGCUCGGCUGAGGAGCCCAGGCCUUGCCCUACACUACCGAAACGGAGACCGCUAUCCACCCUUGGCCGUCCCCCUUUUCCUGCCUGGAACAGUGGCUGGCGCACUAGCAGCUGCUAUAGCAACAGGAGGAAUAAAGGACUAGCAGCUGCCGGUAGCACCCUGGAGGGGCAGCCCACCUCAACAUAAUCAGCUGCCACACAGCAUAGCCGGAACGAGCAGGUGACCAACGCACCCCUCUCCUCCCGGGUCCCCCACUAGGUGGCAUCCCCACCCUGCUCUGCCGUGAUGCUGGGUGGGCCCCAAGCCAGGCUCCCCUAUGCCCCCCACCCAUGCGGGGCCUCCACCACCAGCCCGUGUUUGGGACUUGAGUUCAGCUGGCAGGGGCUGCCGUCUCCCUCCCUCACACUCGCCACGGGCCCCUCCCCUGGAGCCCUCCCCGCGGGGCUAGGCACGGCCCUGGAGCUGCAGGUGGCAGACAGCUGUGCGCUGGCUGUGGCGCGAGGGUCGGCCCAGACCCGCGCAGACAGGCUGGCUGGGAAGGAGAGCACAGGUCCACUAGCGGGGAGGUGCUCACACAGCCGCCCAGAGCCUGGGGCGCUGACCAGGCCACAGUCUCUAAUUACACAGUGAUGGAAUGACAACCGGCUCCCAACC